rnacentral:lncRNA from 1 species
AAAUCAUUUUUUAAUUUAUGCAUUUAUUCCCAAUUUAAGAAGACAAAUUUAGCAAAAAAAAUCUGUGCCAGGAACAGUGCUACAGUCCCUGAAGCUCACUGUUUAGUGAAAGAGACAGAUGCAGAAACAAGUAAUUCAAAUGUCAAAAUUGCAACAACAGCAAUAUAUAUACUAUAUUUUUGGGUCACAGGGAAAAGGCAGGUAAAGGAAGGGUUCCUAGAGGAGAAGAUAUGUGGGCCAAGCCUUAAACACUACAUAGGCAUCAGCCACACAAAGGAAACAAAGACGAAGAUGGGGUGGGAUAGUGUUUAGAUGAGAGCAGCAGUUGGAUUUGGGGGACUGUAAAGUAUCGGAUGGGAAGAUAUAAGAGGUAUAAGCGGGAACCAG